GGUCCCGUAGCUCAAUCGGAUAGAGCAAGCGCCUUCUAAGCGCUAGGCUGCGUGUUCGAGUCACGCCGGGAUCG
rnacentral:tRNA from 1 species